AGAGCGAACGCUGGCGGCAGGCUUAACACAUGCAAGUCGAGCGGGCGUAGCAAUACGUCAGCGGCAGACGGGUGAGUAACGCGUGGGAACGUACCUUUUGGUUCGGAACAACCCAGGGAAACUUGGGCUAAAUACCGGAUAAGCCCUUACGGGGAAAGAUUUAUCGCCGAAAGAUCGGCCCGCGUCUGAUUAGCUAGUUGGUGAGGUAAUGGCUCACCAAGGCGACGAUCAGUAGCUGGUCUGAGAGGAUGAUCAGCCACAUUGGGACUGAGACACGGCCCAAACUCCUACGGGAGGCAGCAGUGGGGAAUAUUGGACAAUGGGCGCAAGCCUGAUCCAGCCAUGCCGCGUGAGUGAUGAAGGCCCUAGGGUUGUAAAGCUCUUUUGUGCGGGAAGAUAAUGACGGUACCGCAAAGAAUAAGCCCCGGCUAACUUCGUGCCAGCAGCCGC
rnacentral:rRNA from 1 species